UACAGGGGGUGCAAACGUUGCUCGGAAUCAUUGGGCGUAAAGCGCACGUAGGCGGUUCGUUAUGUCGGAUGUGAAAGCCCUUGGCUUAACCGAGGAAGUGCAUCCGAAACUGGCGAGCUAGAGUACUAAAGAGGAUCGCGGAAUUCCCGGUGUAGAGGUGAAAUUCGUAGAUAUCGGGAGGAACACCGGUGGCGAAGGCGGCGAUCUGGGUAGAUACUGACGCUGAGACGCGAAAGCGUGGGGAGCAAACAGG
rnacentral:rRNA from 1 species